GAGGGUGUAGCUCAGUGGCAGAGCGCGUGCUUAGCAUGCACAAGGUCCUGGGUUCAAUCCCAGAACUGCCA
rnacentral:tRNA from 1 species